rnacentral:sRNA from 1 species
AACGACUUGACUUCUAUAAGUGUCCUUUACGCCUUGACUUUCUCCAACCCAGGGAGGAACUCAUAACCACCCUCUUUCCUGAUCUUGUCGAAAAUCUAAACUUCCUGUCAGCUAAAGGCUUGGUAGUUACGUUGCGGUAUCCUCACCUCCAUGGUCAUCGUCGUCUCUGCAUGUGGCAUGCUCGGGCACUCCUUCAGUCCGUCCCGUAGACACCUGGCCACAGCAUCGGCUUCCCAAUAUAGCCCAAACCCAUCGAAGCUCAUAUCGAUUGUCUCAUCCUCAUAAUUCCCGUCCUCUAUCUCGGGGUUGAGAAGUCUACGGAAAGUAUAUUUUUGAGGGCGAGAAGUGAAGCCAUGAACGAGGAUCUCUCCCUUGGAGCCAACAAUACGGGUGUUUUGAUAUUUUUGAACAACCGAGAGAAGAUUCGUCGUGCCUGCAAAGAUCGUUAAUUCCUUAGGGAAGGUCAAGGUGAAGCUGGUUGCAAGGUCGACACCAGUGUGGUGAAGUAACAUAGUACUGCCGACCUUGUCAGGGGGUGUGAGCUGAUUCAAAGGAUGGCGGUAGAGGAUCAUCAUUGUCUACAACAUAUAGUUCCACACGAGGAUAAGGCCCAAUAUCAAGGAGACCACCACCGCCAAGCUCAGCAGCGAACACUCGGUCUGUAUCAGGUCGUUUCUUGUAGGCGUCCAUGGCGUGGUCAGAGUACAUGCACCUGAUCUCACCGAUAAGGUUGUCUUCAUGAAUAGCUUUCUGAACGGCCAGCAUAACGGGGUUGAAUCGAGUCCAAACGGCUGAAAGAGCGAAUCAAUGGUUUGUUUCUGAAUCUGUGGUUUUCAAACUUACCUUCCAUAAGGAAAACAUCGUUCUCUUUGGCAAUUGAGACAAGGUGCUUCCACUCUGCGGCAUUGAGGGUUGCUGGCUACAAUGAGAAAUUAUUUAGAGAAAACCACAGCUCUGGAUCGAGCUUACCUUCUCCAGUAGGCAGUUCUUACCAGCUUCCAAAGCGAGUUUGGCAUCCUCAAAUCAGUUGAAGGUAUCAACACCUCUCAUUGGACACACUCACAGGAUCCUCCACAACGCCGUUGUAUGAACCUAUUUGCUGAUGAAAUCCUCUGCUUUGGAAAGCGAACGGGAUCCAACAGCAGCAAUGGCAUGAGAGACGUCCGUGACGUUUCUCAAGGCCAUGGGACGACUGACAUCUUUGGUAAAUUCGGAUGAGAUCCAACCACAUCCAAGAAUACCCCAUUGAGCGACGAAGGUUUGCUGAGAAGACAUACUGGCGAUAUAUCGUAGUAGCGAGCCGGGAUGAGUCGUAAAGGCGACGUUAUUUGUACGGUUUUGCGACAAAAUAUGGGUCGCCGGGCAAGGAGAGGCAGUUCAGAGAAUGCAUGGAGAUGGAUAAAGAAGAAGGGAGAUGGAUAUCCUGUUGAUGAGACGAAGCAUAUAUCUCCGGUGUCCGGGAUGAUAGACAAGAUCGGACCGAUAUUUGCCGUUCGCGCGACAGCCAAGACCAUAACAAAACAUAGAACAAAAUGGCAAGCAACUGAUUUUGUUCUUGUCAGUUCAUGUUUUAUGCAUUUGAAAGAGGUGGAAGACCG